GGCAGCGUGGUCUAGUGGUUUGAGUGUCGGACGGACGAAGACUCUGGAGACUAGGGUUCAAUUCCCACCUUGGCCA